GCUUUGCUUUCUCUGUAUGAAAAUGGAGUUUCGUAGACUUUGAUUCAUUUCACGAAUCAAUCAAAAUUUGCAACUUUUUUGGGUCUUUUCAGCUAAAUAUAAUAAAUCCAAAUGGAGGGUCGUAGUGAAAAGUGCGAGCAAUGUGUAGGAAGAUCAAGAAUUGCUGCAGCAAUAGCAAUUGGUGUUGUUGUGGGACGUGUCUUUGCUUUCUUUUAUCCCUAUGGCUUCUUUUCUCCUGAUCCACAAGCUCAAACUCCGACUCUUUCUAAAUAUAAUGUUUUGGUAAGUCAUGUCUCUGCACAUAUUUCUCUCUUACUUAAAUAUAGAGCUAACAUGCAAAAUAUAUUUUACAAGAGAGAGAGAGAGAGGUUGAAUGAAAAAAUCAAUUAGGCCUAGAGGUUGGCCUAGUUGAUUGAUUGUGUCAAGCUGUGAUAUGUGAUCAAGGAGUUGCUAGUUUAAAAAUUGAGGAUAUUUUGGUCCAAUACUGUCUUACAAAAAGUGACUUAUUGUUUUAGGUUUUUGAAUUAUGUUUUUCUUUUUUUCUUUUCUAAAAGAUGGGGCAUUUAGUCAUCACAUGUAUAUUUACAUGCUAUUUACAAUUCUAAAUGUGAUGAUAAUUGAACACUCCAUUAUGGCAUCACUUCUACAUGUGACAUUUGAUAUAAUUAAUGGCCAUAAUGUCAUUUGAUCAGUGUUAAACUCUUCUAUAUGUAUCUUAAUUGUUGAAAUUUAAUUCAUAGGUUGAGUCGUGGUCAUA
rnacentral:lncRNA from 1 species